GUUUACCGUGAAAAAAUUAGAGUGUUCAAAGCAGGCAGAUGCCAAUUGUUCUGCCACCGAAUACAUUAGCAUGGGAUAAUGGAAUAGGACCCUGUCCUCCUAUGUUUCAGUUGGUUUUGGCAGCGCGAGGACUAGGGUAAUGAUUAAUAGGGAUAGUUGGGGGCAUUAAUAUUUAAUUGUCAGAGGUGAAAUUCUUGGAUUUAUGAAAGAUUAACUUCUGCGAAAGCAUCUGCCAAGGAUGUUUUCAUUAAUCAAGAACGAAAGUUAGGGGAUCGAAGACGAUCAGAUACCGUCGUAGUCUUAACCAUAAACGAUGCCGACCAGCGAUUAGGAGACGUUGAAUACAAAACACCACCAUCGAGCGGUCGUGCUUGGCGUCGUCUUUCGGGCUAAACGCGGGGCGCUAGCCCGKCAUCCCCGUAG
rnacentral:rRNA from 1 species